CCUACGGGAGGCAGCAGUGAGGAAUAUUGGUCAAUGGACGCAAGUCUGAACCAGUCAUGCCGCGUGCAGGAUGACGGCUCUAUGAGUUGUAAACCGCUUUUGUCCGAGGGUAAAUCCCGAUACGUGUAUCGGGUUGAAAGUAUCGUACGAAUAAGGAUCGGCUAACUCCGUGCCAGCAGCCGCGGUAAUACGGAGGAUUCAAGCGUUAUCCGGAUUUAUUGGGUUUAAAGGGUGCGUAGGCGGGUAGAUAAGUUAGAGGUGAAAUCUCGGGGCUCAACUCCGGCAGUGCCUCUGAUACUGGCGGGCUAGAGUGUAGUUGAGGUAGGCGGAAUGUAUGGUGUAGCGGUGAAAUGCAUAGAGAUCAUACAGAACACCGAUUGCGAAGGCAGCUUACC
rnacentral:rRNA from 1 species